rnacentral:lncRNA from 13 species
GGAAAAGGACAUGAUCUGUAUUAUGAUGCAAAAGAUCAUGGCUGCAGCUGGCUGAGUAAGUGAGCUGCCUUGACUCAGGAUCAGGCUAAGAGUGAGGCAUGCUGGACCAUGCCAUGGGUUAGAAUCCCUUCCUCAGAAAAUUGAGAGAAGGCCAGGAAGACACUUGUUCUCCCCUGUGCUAUCUGCUCCACAUUGAUACCCAGAGCAGCCCAUCUUCAGAAAGGCACAGCAAUUUGAAAAGGAGAAAGUUAAGGAGGCCUGUGUUGGGGUCCGGCACGUCUGCCCGGGGGACUACCGACCUGCAGGAGUUCCCGAGACCGCCAACGUAGAUGUCUCGUUCAACCUGAGGGAGAGAGUGCGCGGAAGUGAAAGAAUAAAGGAAAGCGGAGUCUGGAGGGCUGGCUUAGGCUAUGUCCAAGCAGCAAUUUUAUUUUUGCAAUACGUUUCAUUAUAUACUUUUCUGAAGUCAAAGUUGUUUAUGCCAGAUCAACGUACUUAAUUUACAGUAAUCAAGUUAGGCCCACUAAGUUACGCCCAGUAAGUAAGUUAAGUCCAGUAAGUAGGUUAGGCCCAGUAAGUAGGUUACUUCCAGUAAGUAGGUUACGGCCCAAUAGGUCAAGGUAAGUAAGUUACGGUCACGGCCAGUAAGUUAUCGUACGUAAGUUACAGUUACACCCAGUAAGUUACGAUAAGUAAGUUACCAAGUGUAAAUACUUAAGUUAAUAUUUUACAAUGAAGGUGACAAGGGUCCAAAAUGAACACAAUCAAGCAAUAAACCAUAAGGAGCCAAAAGUGGACACAUUGCCUCCCAAAUCCUCAUAUCCAUAAAGUAAUGUCUGUUAAUUAUUUAGAAUAACAUAGUCCCUCUCUCGGUUCCUGCUUUCCCUCAGCUCGACUCCCCCAACCGGGGAUCUGUGUCCGGGCUCAAGCUCACCGUAUGGCGAGGCCCAUUUCCUAGGGGCCUCACACGGGAGCAAUCCCCACAGGCCUGCAUUAAUGUAUGGGUAGAAGAAGACAGAUUUGAGAGAUUUCAUCAGUCUAAUCAACAGGUCUUGACAAUUAAUAGAAGAUGGGGAUAUUCAGCUCAAGGUCAAACAGCCAUCAAGAAGUGGAGCCUGUGGGUGGUAAAACCCAUGCUCCCCUGCAGUAGCCAGCAAUUUGAGAAAGCUACACCAGAAAGAGUCUGAUUCUGGUUGUCCAUAAAGAAUGGGGCAUUUCAAACUUUGAAAUAAACCAAUCCUCCCUGGGCCCUUAAGUGUGUUU